rnacentral:rRNA from 1 species
CCCGGUAGUUGAAAUGGCUUUCCCUCCAGAGUGGAUCCUGAGUACGGCGGAACACGUGAAAUUCCGUCGGAAUCCGGGAGGACCAUCUCCCAAGGCUAAAUACUCCCUAGUGACCGAUAGUGAACCAGUACCGUGAGGGAAAGGUGAAAAGCACCCCGGAAGGGGAGUGAAACAGUUCCUGAAACCGUGUGCCUACAAGUAGUUAGAGCCCGUUAAUGGGUGAUAGCGUGCCUUUUGUAGAAUGAACCGGCGAGUUACGAUUUGUUGCAAGGUUAAGCGGAAAAAGCGGAGCCGUAGCGAAAGCGAGUCUGAAUAGGGCGCAUAAGUAACAGGUCGUAGACCCGAAACCAGGUGAUCUACCCAUGUCCAGGAUGAAGGUAAGGUAAUACUUACUGGAGGUCCGAACCCACGCACGUUGAAAAGUGCGGGGAUGAGGUGUGGGUAGCGGAGAAAUUCCAAUCGAACUUGGAGAUAGCUGGUUCUCUCCGAAAUAGCUUUAGGGCUAGCCUCGAGGUAAAGAGUCAUGGAGGUAGAGCACUGUUUGGACUAGGGGCCCUUCUCGGGUUACCGAAUUCAGAUAAACUCCGAAUGCCAUGUACUUAUACUCGGGAGUCAGACUGCGAGUGAUAAGAUCCGUAGUCGAAAGGGAAACAGCCCAGACCACCAGUUAAGGUCCCCAAAUAUAUGUUAAGUGGAAAAGGAUGUGGGGUUGCUUAGACAACCAGGAUGUUGGCUUAGAAGCAGCCACCAUUGAAAGAGUGCGUAAUAGCUCACUGGUCGAGUGACCCCGCGCCGAAAAUGUACCGGGGCUAAACAUAUUACCGAAACUGUGGAUGAACCUCUUUAGAGGUUCGUGGUAGGAGAGCGUUCUAAGGGCGGUGAAGUCAGACCGGAAGGACUGGUGGAGCGCUUAGAAGUGAGAAUGCCGGUAUGAGUAGCGAAAGAAGGGUGAGAAUCCCUUCCACCGAAUAUCUAAGGUUUCCUGAGGAAGGCUCGUCCGCUCAGGGUUAGUCGGGACCUAAGCCGAGGCCGAUAGGCGUAGGCGAUGGACAACAGGUAGAGAUUCCUGUACCAGUGCUAAUUGUUUAACCGAUGGGGUGACACAGAAGGAUAGGGAAUCGCACGAAUGGAAAUGUGCGUCCAAGCAGUGAGUGUGAGAAGUAGGCAAAUCCGCUUCUCGCGAAGCAUGAGCUGUGAUGGGGAAGGAAAUUAAGUACGGAAGUUCCUGAUUUCACGCUGUCAAGAAAAGCCUCUAGGAAGAGUAGUACUGCCCGUACCGCAAACCGACACAGGUAGAUGAGGAGAGAAUCCUAAGGUGAGCGAGAGAACUCUCGUUAAGGAACUCGGCAAAAUGACCCCGUAACUUCGGGAGAAGGGGUGCUCUAUUAGGGUGCAAGCCCGAGAGAGCCGCAGUGAAUAGGCCCAGGCGACUGUUUAGCAAAAACACAGGUCUCUGCAAAACCGUAAGGUGACGUAUAGGGGCUGACGCCUGCCCGGUGCUGGAAGGUUAAGAGGAGUGCUUAGCUUCGGCGAAGGUACGAAUUGAAGCCCCAGUAAACGGCGGCCGUAACUAUAACGGUCCUAAGGUAGCGAAAUUCCUUGUCGGGUAAGUUCCGACCCGCACGAAAGGCGCAACGAUCUGGGCACUGUCUCAACGAGAGACUCGGUGAAAUUAUAGUACCUGUGAAGAUGCAGGUUACCCGCGACAGGACGGAAAGACCCCGUGGAGCUUUACUGCAACCUGAUAUGGAAUGUUUGUACCGCUUGUACAGGAUAGGUAGGAGCCGAAGAGACGUGUGCGCUAGCAUACGAGGAGGCAAUGGUGGGAUACUACCCUGGCUGUAUGACCAUUCUAACCCGCCACGCUUAGCGCGUGGGGAGACAGUGUCAGGUGGGCAGUUUGACUGGGGCGGUCGCCUCCUAAAGAGUAACGGAGGCGCCCAAAGGUUCCCUCAGAAUGGAUGGAAAUCAUUCGCAGAGUGUAAAGGCACAAGGGAGCUUGACUGCGAGACUGACAAGUCGAGCAGGGACGAAAGUCGGGCUUAGUGAUCCGGUGGUUCCGCAUGGAAGGGCCAUCGCUCAACGGAUAAAAGCUACCCCGGGGAUAACAGGCUUAUCUCCCCCAAGAGUCCACAUCGACGGGGAGGUUUGGCACCUCGAUGUCGGCUCGUCGCAUCCUGGGGCUGUAGUCGGUCCCAAGGGUUGGGCUGUUCGCCCAUUAAAGCGGCACGCGAGCUGGGUUCAGAACGUCGUGAGACAGUUCGGUCCCUAUCCGUCGCGGGCGCAGGAAAUUUGAGAGGAGCUGUCCUUAGUACGAGAGGACCGGGAUGGACACACCGCUGGUGUACCAGUUGUUCCGCCAGGAGCAUCGCUGGGUAGCUAUGUGUGGCAGGGAUAAACGCUGAAAGCAUCUAAGCGUGAAGCCCCCCUCAAGAUGAGAUUUCCCAUUUCUUCGGAAAGUAAGAUCCCUGAAAGAUGAUCAGGUAGAUAGGUUUGGAGUGGAAGUGUAGCGAUACAUGGAGCGGACAAAUACUAAUCGAUCGAGGACUUAACCAAAA